CUACCCUUGACAUCCUGCGAAUCCCGAUGAGAGUUGGGAGUGCCGAAAGGAGCGCAGAGACAGGUGCUGCAUGGCUGUCGUCAGCUCGUGUUGUGAGAUGUUGGGUUAAGUCCCGUAACGAGCGCAACCCUUGUUCUUAGUUGCCAGCGAGUAAAAUCGGGGACUCUAAGAAGACUGCCGGUGAUGAACCGGAGGAAGGCGGGGACGACGUCAAGUCAUCAUGGCCUUUAUGGGUAGGGCUACACACGUGCUACAAUGGGGCGUACAGAGGGUCGCGAACCCGCGAGGGGGAGCCAAUCUCGAAAAGCGUCUCGUAGUCCGGAUUGGAGUCUGCAACUCGACUCCAUGAAGUUGGAAUCGCUAGUAAUCGCGAAUCAGCAUUGUCGCGGUGAAUACGUUCCC
rnacentral:rRNA from 1 species